rnacentral:rRNA from 1 species
UACGGAGGGUGCAAGCGUUAAUCGGAAUUACUGGGCGUAAAGCGCACGCAGGUGGCUGAGUCAGUCGAUUGUGAAAGCCCUGGGCUUAACCUGGGAAUUGCAGUCGAUACUACUCAGCUAGAGUAUGGGAGAGGGCAGUGGAAUUCCCGGUGUAGCGGUGAAAUGCGUAGAUAUCGGGAGGAACAUCAGUGGCGAAGGCGGCUGCCUGGCCCAAUACUGACACUCAGGUGCGAC